rnacentral:rRNA from 1 species
ACCUGAAAACAGAUGUUGCAUGGCUGUCGUCAGCUCGUGCCGUGAGGUGUACGGUUAAGUCCGCCAACGAGCGCAACCCACGUCGUGUGUUACCAGCGAGAGAGUCGGGCACUCACACGAGACCGCCGGUGUAAGCCGGAGGAAGGUGAGGAUGAUGUCAAGUCAGCAUGGCUCUUACGAGUGGGGCUUCACACAUGCUACAAUGGGCGCAACAAAGGGCCGCAACACCGCGAGGUAG